AUGAACGCUCGCGGCGUGCCUAAUACAUGCAAGUCGAGCGAACGGACGAGAAGCUUGCUUCUCUGAUGUUAGCGGCGGACGGGUGAGUAACACGUGGAUAACCUACCUAUAAGACUGGGAUAACUUCGGGAAACCGGAGCUAAUACCGGAUAAUAUUUUGAACCGCAUGGUUCAAAAGUGAAAGACGGUCUUGCUGUCACUUAUAGAUGGAUCCGCGCUGCAUUAGCUAGUUGGUAAGGUAACGGCUUACCAAGGCAACGAUGCAUAGCCGACCUGAGAGGGUGAUCGGCCACACUGGAACUGAGACACGGUCCAGACUCCUACGGGAGGCAGCAGUAGGGAAUCUUCCGCAAUGGGCGAAAGCCUGACGGAGCAACGCCGCGUGAGUGAUGAAGGUCUUCGGAUCGUAAAACUCUGUUAUUAGGGAAGAACAUAUGUGUAAGUAACUGUGCACAUCUUGACGGUACCUAAUCAGAAAGCCACGGCUAACUACGUG
rnacentral:rRNA from 1 species